ensembl:lncRNA
AUGCGUCCGUCCCCGCGCCGGCGGGCGGCCGCCUGGCUGCUGGCGCUGCCGUCGGGGCGCGGCGGGGAGGAGUGCGCGCGGCGCGGCCGCCUGGAGAUGAUCUCGUUCUGGCUGCUGUGCUGGAAGCUGCUGAGAGCAACAGCUGGGCUAAGGAGGACGCCAGCUGAGCUAACCGAUGGUAACCCCGACAACGAUAACUAUAACGACUCCGCCCGUCCAGGACAGCCAUCAGAUCCAGUUACCAUGGAGAGCAGUUCAUCUCCACCGGCAACACACACGGAUAGUGAAAACUCGGGGCAAAGCCUUUGGGGCGACCAGGAAGCGGAGGAGCACCAUUACACAGAGGUCCAUGGGCUGAAGCAGCCAAUCGGGGACGAGCAGGACGAAGAAGAGGCUGCAGGGAAAGAAAAUGUCGUCAGGGAUGCAGAUGAGUGUGAUUACCUUGUGUUUGCAAUCGGAGAGCGAAAUGGGAAUGAUAAAGGAGAUGAAAGUGGACAGGACACGGGUAGAGGAGGAGAUAAGGUAGAAGAUGGAGAAAGAGGGGAAACAGAAGGAAAGGAAGAAGGAAGUGGAGCUACAGUGAGGGAAGAUGGAGGAAGAGGAGGUGAAAAAGAAGAGGAUGAAUGCAUAGGAGAGACAGUGGGCGAGAUGAGUAAUGAUGCUCCGUCAAAGCUCCUCCUCAUCUCUUGCAGCCCGGAGCGUCUUUCAUCAUCAGAGCCCCUGAUGGUCCCCUCAUGUCCCUCAGAGCAGCCCAUGGAGGCCAUGUUGCAAGAGGCCUUAGGUCACAACAUUGGCGAAAGAGAUGACCUCAGUGACGUCCAGCACACAGGCUUCCCCCAAGCUGAGCUGGCUAGUGUGUACUCGGACAGCGACGCAGGGGACGGCCAGUGGGCUAGCUUUGCACGCUGUGAUGUCACCAACCAGGAAGAAGCAGGCGGAGGAAUUCACAAUACCACCUGUGAAGGAGAGAGCAAGGAAGAGGAGGGAGGAGGAGCCGAUAAGGGGAGAGCCGAAGAACAGUUUGAGGCAGAAGAAGCGAGUGAAACACAGGACCAAAGGGAGGAGGAGGAGGAGGAGGAGGAGGAGAAGGAGGAGGAGGAGGGGAGCAGACACGUGGAUGAUGAAGAGCAGAUGACGUCCAGGAGAGAUCUAUUUCCACGCACACCUUCUGUCAGCUCCACGGGCAGCUCCACAGAGCCUGACAGAAAGGCUCCCGUGGAUCUCUGUGUCCAAGAAGAGGCCCACAGUGGAAACGUCUCCACUGAGCAUGUGGACUUUCUGUUGGCCCGACAGCAGUGGAGGAAGAUGGAGGAGGAGGUCAAAGGUCAGCCAAUCCCCAAACCAGGCCUCAGAGCUCAGGGGAGCUUCCAGGGCACCCACAGCUCCCUGUACCCGCCCACUCGCAGCCCCCGACUCAAACACAGGGAGAUCCAUCCUGCAGCGGCCAUGGAGCCCACGCUGUCCUCCACCCUGUCCUCCACCCUGUCCCCCGGCUCGGAGGACUCGGGCCUGGAGGAGCCGGAGAGUGCAGUGGAGAGAGAGAUCCGCCGGACUCUGGAGAGGGAGGAAUGCCACCGGAGAGAGAGGGGGGGGGUCACACAGGGCCUCACCGUACCCAGAGCCUCCACCGGGCAGAGCGGACGAUCUCCCCCCAGACCUCCAGCGUGCCGCACCCCUACACUGUCCAUCUCCCCUUCUCCUUCCUCUUCCCUUCCCCGAUCUGUCUACCAUGAGAUGACGGCCAAUAAUGUCAUUAUCCUGGAGCCCGGCUGCUCCGGCUCCACCUCCAGAAACCUCUUACUCUCCUCCGCCACCGAUUGGCCGCUUAGCCAGGAUGCUGUGCCCUCCGCCAACGUCAUCGUCGUUGAGACCUCUAACGUGAUCAUUCGCAGCGCAUCCGAAUUCUGUCUAAGCUCCGCCCCCGUGUCCGCGGAGACCCAGGAGAGCACCUUCUCGUCCAAUCCGUUCUUUAAGCUACGCUCAAUCAGCAGCCAAUCGCUGGUGGAGCGGGAGAUCCGCAUGGUGAGGCAGAGGGAGGAGGAAUGGAGGAGGCAGCGGGAGGAGAUGUGGAGGAGGAGGAGGGAGGAGGAGUGGAGGAGAGGGAGAGAGAGGUACGACACCGUGCUGGUGUCUCCUGGCCUGAGCGAUAACAUCAGCUACAACGUGCCAGAGGUCCUAGAUAGAUGUGUGUCCUCUCCUUCGUCCCCCUCCAGGACCCGCAAAAUGGAAAGAUCCAGCAUGUCUUGUGACCACAAGUUCCCCUCAUCCCUCUCUCUGACGCCGAAGCGACCGAACGCCAUGGCGCAGCGAUGGGAGGCCUCCCUAUUAGCCAAUCAGAAGAAGGAGUGACCAUUUCAAAGCCCACAAUGAGAUCCGACGCCUCCGUUCCUUCCUGCUUCUCUCCAGAAAAGUCACACGGUGUACUGUAAGGUCUUUGAAAAGGUGUGGCUUGAACCCGUGGGUCACAGAUGUGCUGUCUGCGGGACGUCCUGUGAGAAGAGGAAUGGUCCUGUCCAACAGCUUUGUUUCAAAGA